rnacentral:rRNA from 1 species
UACGUAGGGCGCAAGCGUUGUCCGGAAUUAUUGGGCGUAAAGAGCUCGUAGGCGGUUUGUCGCGUCUGUCGUGAAAGCCCACGGCUUAACCGUGGGUCUGCGGUGGAUACGGGCAGACUAGAGGCAGGUAGGGGAGAAUGGAAUUCCCGGUGUAGCGGUGAAAUGCGCAGAUAUCGGGAGGAACACCGGUGGCGAAGGCGGCAUCCUGGACCGGCAUUGACGCUGAGGAGCGAAAGCCAGGGGAGCAAACGGG